AGACUUGGCUCUCUUGAUCUCAAGAUGUGGGCAGAAAUUCGCGUCUCUUGGAUGAUUCUUUGGUUGCUUACUGCUUCUGCUGCACUUAAACAAUACGAAGUGUAUGGUGCAAUCUCUUUACCAAUGUG
rnacentral:ribozyme from 1 species